rnacentral:rRNA from 1 species
UACAGAGGUCUCAAGCGUUGUUCGGAUUCAUUGGGCGUAAAGGGUGCGUAGGUGGCACUGUAAGUCGGGUGUGAAAUCCUGAGGCUUAACCUCGGAACUGCAUUCGAUACUGCGGUGCUUGAGGACUGGGAGAGGAGACUAGAAUUCAUGGUGUAGCAGUGAAAUGCGUAGAGAUCAUGAGGAAGACCAGUGGCGAAGGCGGGUCUCUGGACAGUUCCUGACACUGAGGCACGAAGGCCAGGGGAGCAAACGGGG